CAGUCGAACGAUUAAAGCCCCUUCGGGGGUGUAUAAAGUGGCGAACGGGUGAGUAACAGGUGGAUAAUCUACCUCUCAGUGGGGAAUACCAGUUGGAAACGGCUGUUAAUACCGCAUGCGAUUGUGACUUCUUCGGAAGAUGCAAGGAAAGGGCCUUUUGGCUCGCUGAGAGAUGAGUCCGCCCCCCAUUAGGUAGUUGGUGUGAUAAAAGCGCACCAAGCCAUUGAUGGGUAGCCGGACUGAGAGGUUGGCCGGCCACACUGGAACUGGGACACGGUCCAGACACCUACGGGUGGCAGCAGUAGGGAAUAUUGCGCAAUGAACGAAAGUUUGACGCAGCCAUGCCGCGUGGACGAUGAAGGCCUUCGGGUCGUAAAGUCCUUUUAUCAGGGAAGAACAAGUGGAGGAGUAAAAUGCCUCCGCCCUGACGGUACCUGAUGAAUAAGCACCGGCUAAUUCCGUGCCAGCAGCCGCGGUAAUACGGGAGGUGCGAGCGUUAAUCGGAAUUACUGGGCGUAAAGCGAGCG
rnacentral:rRNA from 1 species